CAUACAGAAUGACUGCUUUCAAAAUCUGUUAUUUGGUGCCUUUACCAUUGGGCUUCUGUUUUCCUUUAUCUUUGGACUGGGACAGAAAAAAGCUACAUUUGGAUGGCACGGGUUUAUUACUUAGUAGCAUAUGAUUCUCUGGCUGACCCAUGUUUUGAAAUUUAAUGGACCCGUGGUGAUCAGAGUAAAAGUAGAGAAGUUGAAGAAGAAGUGAGUUAAUUCCUAGAGUGAUGGGCCGAUAAUGUGCUUGGAGAAUUAUGGAAGAACUUACUAUUGACAAAGAAAAGCGGGAGCCAAGACCAGAGAAGGACAAUCCGGAUGACCGGGGGAUUGUGAACUAACUAUAUGGGCAUGGUUCUGAAAUUCUCGAAUAAUCUCUCGUGAGAGAAGUCAUGCCUUUCCGUAUGAGGACAUACACUCAACUCAGCAUGAAGAGGGGUGAUGAGUCUGAAAAAUCAGGAGCAGGAGAAAAUAAGAAGACAAGGGCCCGAUCAUUUUGCAAAUGAAAAUUCAAGCUCCCUCUCCAGGCUUGAGUGUGCU